CUACGGGAGGCACCAGUGGGGAAUAUUGCACAAUGGGCGCAAGCCUGAUGCAGCCAUGCCGCGUGUAUGAAGAAGGCCUUCGGGUUGUAAAGUACUUUCAGCGGGGAGGAAGGGAGUAAAGUUAAUACCUUUGCUCAUUGACGUUACCCGCAGAAGAAGCACCGGCUAACUCCGUGCCAGCAGCCGCGGUAAUACGGAGGGUGCAAGUGUUAAUCGGAAUUACUGGGCGUAAAGCGCACGCAGGCGGUUUGUUAAGUCAGAUGUGAAAUCCCCGGGCUCAACCUGGGAACUGCAUCUGAUACUGGAGAGCUUGAGUCUCGUAGAGGGGGGUAGAAUUCCAGGUGUAGCGGUGAAAUGCGUAGAGAUCUGGAGGAAUACCGGUGGCGAAGGCGGCCCCCUGGACGAAGACUGACGCUCAGGUGCGAAAGCGUGGGGAGCAAACAGGAUUAGAUACCCGAGUAGUC
rnacentral:rRNA from 1 species